CAGGUAGAGAAUACCAAAGCGAUCGAGCGAAUCCUGGUCAAGGAACUCGGCAAAUUGCUCCCGUGCCUUCGGCAUAAGGGAGACCCCCUGCGGUGAUGAGCGGCGGGGGGUGGCACAGGCCAGGGGGUAGCGACUGUUUACCAAAAACACAGGAGCGUGCGAAGGCGCAAGCCGCUGUAUACGCUCUGACGCCUGCCCGGUGCCGGAAGGUUAAGAGGAUCCGUCAGCUUUCUGCGAAGCGGUGAAUUCAAGCCCCGGUAAACGGCGGUGGUAACUAUAACCAUCCUAAGGUAGCGAAAUUCCUUGUCGGGUAAGUUCCGACCUGCACGAAUGGCGUAACGACUUCCCCACUGUCUCGACCAGGAGCUCGGCGAAAUUGCAGUACGAGUAAAGAUGCUCGUUAAGCGCAGAAGGACGAAAAGACCCCGGGACCUUUACUAUACCUUGGUAUUGGCAUUCGGUGUGGAUUGUGUAGCAUAGGCGGGAGGCCGAGAGGCGCGGUCGCCAGAUCGCGCGGAGCCGUAAGGUGAAAUACCGCUCUGUUCGCAUUGGAUGUCUAACCUCGAACAGUCAUCCUGUUCAGGGACAGUGCCUGGCGGGUAGUUUAACUGGGGCGGUUGCCUCCCAAAGAGUAACGGAGGCGCCCAAAGGUCCGCUCAGCCCGGUUGGCAAUCGGGUGGCGAGUGCAAGUGCACAAGCGGGCUUGACUGCGAGGACGACGGUCCGAGCAGGGACGAAAGUCGGGACUAGUGAUCCGGUGCCGGUGUACGGACGCGGCAUCGCUCAACGGAUAAAAGGUACCCCGGGGAUAACAGGCUGAUCAUUCCCAAGAGUCCAUAUCGACGGGAUGGUUUGGCACCUCGAUGUCGGCUCGUCGCAUCCUGGGGCUGGAGCAGGUCCCAAGGGUUCGGCUGUUCGCCGAUUAAAGCGGCACGCGAGCUGGGUUCAGAACGUCGUGAGACAGUUUGGUCUCUAUCCUCUGCGCUCGUUGGAAUGCUGAGGAGGCCUGCCCAUAGUACGAGAGGACCUGGGUGGACGAACCUCUGGUAUGCCGGUUGUCACGCCAGUGGCACGGCCGGUUGGCUACGUUCGGAAGGGAUAACCGCUGAAAGCAUCUAAGCGGGAAGCCUGCUCCAAGAUAAGCAUUCCGUGGAACCUUCGAGUUCCUGUAGUCCCCAUGCAGAACACGUGGUCGAUAGGCCGGACGUGGAAGCCCCGCGAGGGGUGGAGCCGACCGGUACUAAUGGUCGAGAGGCAACCCACA
rnacentral:rRNA from 1 species